rnacentral:tRNA from 1 species
GGAUGUGGUUCAGUGGUAGAGUGCUAGCCUAGCAUGUGUGAGACCUUGGGUUCAAUCCCCAGCACCA